rnacentral:rRNA from 1 species
GACGAACGCUGGCGGCGUGCUUAACACAUGCAAGUCGAACGGAAAGGCCCUGCUUUUGUGGGGUGCUCGAGUGGCGAACGGGUGAGUAACACGUGAGUAACCUGCCCUUGACUUUGGGAUAACUUCAGGAAACUGGGGCUAAUACCGGAUAGGAGCUCCUGCUGCAUGGUGGGGGUUGGAAAGUUUCGGCGGUUGGCGAUGGACUCGCGGCUUAUCAGCUUGUUGGUGGGGUAGUGGCUUACCAAGGCUUUGACGGGUAGCCGGCCUGAGAGGGUGACCGGCCACACUGGGACUGAGAUACGGCCCAGACUCCUACGGGAGGCAGCAGUGGGGAAUAUUGCACAAUGGGCGGAAGCCUGAUGCAGCAACGCCGCGUGCGGGAUGACGGCCUUCGGGUUGUAAACCGCUUUCGCCUGUGACGAAGCGUGAGUGACGGUAAUGGGUAAAGAAGCACCGGCUAACUACGUG